CAGGAUUCCCCUAGUACGGCGAGUGAACCGGGAAGAGCUCAAAUUUGAAAUCUGGCGUCCUUCGGGCGUCCGAGUUGUAAUCUAUAGAGAUGUUUUCCGUGCCGGACCGUGUCCAAGUCCCUUGGAACAGGGUAUCAAAGAGGGUGACAAUCCCGUACUUGACACGAUGACCGGUGCUCUGUGAUACGUCUUCUACGAGUCGAGUUGUUUGGGAAUGCAGCUCAAAACGGGUGGUGAGUUCCAUCUAAAGCUAAAUAUUGGCGAGAGACCGAUAGCGAACAAGUACCGUGAGGGAAAGAUGAAAAGCACUUUGGAAAGAGAGUUAAACAGUACGUGAAAUUGUUGAAAGGGAAACGAUUGAAGUCAGUCGUGUCCGGGGGGUUCAGCCUGCUUCUGCUGGUGUAUUCCCCCUUGGAUGGGUCAACAUCAGUUUGGUCCGGCGGAUAAGGGUGGUGGGAAGGUAGCACCUUAGGGUGUGUUAUAGCCCAUUACCGCAUACGCUGGUCCAGACUGAGGACUGCAGCUCG
rnacentral:rRNA from 1 species